CCUACGGGAGGCAGCAGUGGGGAAUAUUGCGCAAUGGGCGAAAGCCUGACGCAGCGACGCCGCGUGUGGGAUGACGGCCUUCGGGUUGUAAACCACUGUCGGGAGGGACGAAGAUCUGACGGUACCUCCAAAGGAAGCACCGGCUAACUCUGUGCCAGCAGCCGCGGUAAUACAGAGGGUGCGAGCGUUGUCCGGAAUCACUGGGCGUAAAGGGCGCGUAGGCGGCCCGAUAAGUAGGGGGUGAAAUCUUGCGGCUCAACCGCAAGGCUGCCUUCUAAACUGUCGGGCUGGAGCACGGUAGAGGCAGAUGGAAUUCCCGGUGUAGCGGUGGAAUGCGUAGAGAUCGGGAAGAACACCAGUGGCGAAGGCGGUCUGCUGGGCCGUUGCUGACGCUGAGGCGCGACAGCGUGGGGAGCAAACAGGAUUAGAUACCCGGGUAG
rnacentral:rRNA from 1 species